CUUAGGAGACUCUAGGCUAUUUCUUCCCCAGCAGAGCAAAGAUUCCUCAGACUUUCCAUGAGUGUUUUAGAACAUAAAACAAUUGCCCUUAUCCCCAUCCCAAAUAACCCCAGAUGCCAAGAAUAGAAAUCACUGAACGGCUUGCCUCAGUUUGAAAGUUCAAAAGUACUUUGAGAGUAAAAAAGGACACUAGAUCAAGGCCAUACUUCCAAAUGGUGUCUACAAGAGAGGAUGAUCACGUACUUCGUAAGAAAGGACAUCAGCCUCUACACGACGGCGACCCUGCAGGCACUAUGCUCAGUCCUGGGGAUAUGAGAUGAAUAUGAUAUAGUCCCAGCCAUCAAGGUAUGCACUGUUCAUAGUGGAUAAGGAAAUGAAAAGAAACAAUUGCAAUCCAGUACACUGAGUAUUAUGGCAGAAAGAUACGCAGAGUAUUGUGACGGUGACUAGCCACGCUAAGGGAAGAGGAGAUACAUUGAAGAAUGGAUGGAAUUCCACGCAAGUGGAAAGUUUUGAAGGCGUACACCUAUAACAUAUACAACAUCAGUGAGCAAAAGUGGUGAGAAGUCACUUAAAGGAAAGGCAGCAGAAUGGUUUCUAGCAUCUCACUCUUUGCCAACAAUAUGCUACUUCUUUAAGCCUUAUUGUUCAAAAUCCAAGUUUUGUACCAAAAAAAGUGAUGCUUUUACUUGUGAAAUGCUAAUACUCCUAACCAUCAGAGAAAAGAGUGGGUGAUUGCCUGGAAAACGACUCAUACAUUCUUCGAACAUUUCUCUCAAACAGUAAUUAUUUUAUGAACAUGUAGAGGGCACUGGAAACUAUAGUAAA